UUUUCAUCCACACCAAAACAUAAAUAUAUAUCACACAUUCUACCUAUUUCACAAAUGGAAUUUCCUACAGAUUCAUUUUCGAUGGACAGCGAUAGCUAAACAUCUUCCGACAAUGAGACGCUUGAAUUUUUCGAGAAGGUGUAUAACGCACUUGAAGCAAGUUCGAGUCGCCCAAAGAAGAAAAUGGUGGAUCGUGAUCGUAUACAUGUCAACGAAGUGUUAAUGAACGAUUAUUUUGUGGAGGAUCCGGUCUACAAUGCCGAAACAUUUAGAGAUCGGUUUUGUUUACCAAAAGAAUUUUUUUAAAGAUUGUUGGAGACAUUGAAGCAAGCGAAGAAUGGUUUCAAGAACGUUACGACGGGAGGGGCAAACACAGUUUCACACCGAUACAAAAAUACACAUCCGCCAUUCGCCAACUAGCGACAGUUUUUGCGUAAACCGAUGAGACACGACAUCUCACGUAUUUACGCCGCACAUGAGGCUAGAUGGCAUUUUCCAAGGAUGCUCGGUAGCAUCGAUUGUACACAUAUCGAAUGGAGAAAUUGUCCAAGAGAGUUGUGAGGGGCGUAUGUUACGGGUGACGUCAAAAGACCAACCAUCAUACUUGAAGCGGUGACGUCGAAUGGUUUAUGGUUUUGGCAUUCAUAUUUUGGUGUUCCAGGUUCAAACAACGACAUCAAUGUUUUGCACACGUCGCCGUUGUUUCAAACCGUAACAGAUGGUAUCACACCCUUCUGUCCAUUCUAUGUUAACGGAAGACAUUAUCGACGAUGCUUUCUUCUUGUGGAUGGUAUCUACCCAUCAUGGUCUGUUUUUGUGAAAGCUCCUUCAUUUCCUGUCGAGGUUAAAGAAAAGACGUUCAAAAGGUUGCAAGAAUCGACAAGAAAAGAUGUUGAGAGGGCUUUUGGUGUUUUAAAGGGUAGAUGGGGCAUACUAAACCGACCGGUUCGUGCAAUGAAUAAGAAAACAAUACAUAGCAUAGUAUAUGCAUGUAUCAUAUUGCACAAUAUGCUAAUCAAAGAAGACGGACGUGCGAUAUCUCUAGAUUGGGUGCCGGAUUUUCCUACACAAGUUCCCGUUCCGGAAAAUGUCCAAUAAGACUUGCGUGAUGAGGAAAUUCACUUUCAAUUGAGAUACGAUUUAAUUGAACUUGCAGGUUCUUUAGGUUUGGAAUUUCCUGAUUCGGACGAGGAGUAGGUUUUCUUUAUGAAUGUUUUUAUUUUUAUUGUAGUCUAAAAUAUUUCUAGAAAUAUUGUUUUUAAUUUAAAUGAAAUUUAUAAUUUUAUUGU
rnacentral:lncRNA from 1 species